GACGAACGCUGGCGGCGUGCUUAAUACAUGCAAGUCGAACGAUUAUGCUAGUGCUUGCUCUGGUGGAUUAGUGACGAACGGGUGAGUAACACGUGAGUAACCUGCCCCGAACUCUGGGAUAACUGCUGGAAAAGGUAGCUAAUACCGGAUAUGACCAAUGGAGGCAUAUUCGGCUGGUGGAAAUAAUUUCGGUUCGGGAAGAGCCUGCGUUCGAUGAGCUAGUUGGUGAGGUAAAGGUCCACCAAGUGGACGAUCGAUAGCUGGUCUGAGAGGAUGAUCAGCCAGACUGGAACUGAGACACGGUCCAGACCCCUAGGGGAGGAAGCAGUAGGGAAUUUUCCACAAUGGGCGAAAGCCUGUUGGAGCAACGCCGCGUGCAGGAUGAAGGCCUUCGGGUUGUAAACUGCUUUUAUAUGUGAAAAAUAUGACGGUAACAUAUGAACAAGGGUCGGCUAACUACGUGCCAGCAGCCGCCGUAA
rnacentral:rRNA from 1 species